GAUGAACGCUGGCGGCGUGCCUAAUACAUGCAAGUCGAGCGAAUGGAUUGAGAGCUUGCUCUUAUGAAGUUAGCGGCGGACGGGUGAGUAACACGUGGGUAACCUGCCCAUAAGACUGGGAUAACUCCGGGAAACCGGGGCUAAUACCGGAUAACAUUUUGAACCGCAUGGUUCGAAAUUGAAUGGCGGCUUCGGCUGUCACUUAUGGAUGGACCCGCGUCGACUUAGCUAGUUGGUGAGGUAACGGCUCACCAAGGCAACGAUGCGUAGCCGACCUGAGAGGGUGAGCGGCCACACUGGGACUGAGACACGGCCCAGACUCCUACGGGAGGCAGCAGUAGGGAAUCUUCCGCAAUGGACGAAAGUCUGACGGAGCAACGCCGCGUGAGUGAUGAAGGCUUUCGGGUCGUAAAACUCUGUUGUUAGGGAAGAACAAGUGCUAGUUGAAUAAGCUGGCACCUUGACGGUACCUAACCAGAAAGCCACGGCUAACUACGUGCCAGCCGCCGCCGUAA
rnacentral:rRNA from 1 species